CGCUGUCUACGCCGUCAACUAACCACAGGUGAAGGUCAUCGAGCGUCAGGAAGAGGGCGUCCUUGAUGUGACCGAUCACCUGCGACAGAGAAGUAGAGUCAUAUCCAGGGGUCACGCACCGGGGUCACAAGAGAACGAUAUCCUUCUGAUCAGACCCAGCCAGCAGUGAGACCAGCAGUGAGACCAGCAGUGAGACCAGCAGUGAGACCAGCAGUGAGACCAGCAGUGAGACCAGCUGCAGACCAGGCUCUGCUGGUUCUUCCCAUGGUUCCUCUGUGAGUAAUUCUGUUUCUGGUCCUUCAGUCUCUCUUUUCUGGGGAUCAUAUAUUUUUUUAAUGAUCCCACAUAUGAUCACACUGUUACCUGGUCAGUAGGUACGGGAAGAAAACAUUGAAAAUGUUUGUUUGUUUGUGUAACAAAUUCAAACAGAGUCGAGAUUUUGCUUUUUCGCUGCACCAUUUAUUUGACUUCCUGUUUUCACUGAUGCUAAACAUGACACAGCAAAAACCACAAGUGACGCUAGUCAGCUGUAAAUCCUGACGAGUCGUGCUUCAUCAACCAUUCACAUCUGUACAACCAUCAGAAUGAGCAGGACCAUCCGAGGGGCGGGGUUCGUCGUUGUUACAUGUUAGCUGUUGUUUAUAUUUACAGAACAUUUUCAACAUGUCCAACCUGAAGAAACAACAAUAAGCAGAUAUUUAUCUUAUUAAGUCACAUGACUCAAAGUUAAAGAUUUGAUUGGUAAGUCUCUUGUGUCCCUAAUGAAACGGACACUGAAGAAGGCAGCAACACGUCGUCGUCAGGCUGUUUUUUGUUUUUUUUCUCAGGUUGCGUUCGCAACAAACUAAACACAGAGGUUACCACCGGGGAGAACUGCAGGGGGGGUGCUUAAUCACGCAUGACAGGAAGUAGGAGGCGUGUCCACUGUUGAAUUAUUGCCCUCUGCUGGAUGAUCUGCAGAUGAUAAUGUGAUUGGAGUUGUUGCUUCUUUUGUUUCAACAUUUUCAGGUUUUUCAGGUUUAACAUUUAAUUAAAAAUUCUACAGGGAACUGGGGGAGGGGCCAGAGUCACCGCAACUGCUCCUAAGGUCAUUGGGACAGGAAAUGAUGUGCGACUCUGGGAAGAGUCCCAGCCACACUGCGAGCAUGCGUGUUAGCGUAGAGUUAUAGCGGCGUCUUGUUCUUCUACUUCCUGUCAGCAGCUCAUAGACAGACAUGCGAUUAACUGCAUGACGACAGCGACAACAACAACGC